rnacentral:rRNA from 1 species
UCGCCUGUUUAACAAAAACAUGGCCUAUUGUAAUUUAUUUUAGGUUUUAGCCUGCUCUAUGAGUAUUUAAAUGGCCGCGGUAUUUUGACCGUGCUAAGGUAGCAUAAUCAUUAGUUUCUUAAUUAGAAGCUGGAAUGAAUGGGUUGGAUGAGAAAAUUUCUGUCUCUGAUUAAUAUUAUUAGAAUUUUAUUUUUUAGUGAAAAAGCUAAAAUUUAUUUGAAAGACGAGAAGACCCUAUUAGAGUUUAAUAUAAAAAAAUCUCUAAAAAUAGCUUAGGAUAGAUAGUUUUAAUUUUUUUUUAUAUUUAAUUGGGGUGAUUGAUAAAUUAAAUUAACUUUUUUUUAUAUUUUUUACAUUGAUUUAUGAUUUUUUGAUCCAAUAUUUUUGAUUAAAAGGUUAAAUUACCUUAGGGAUAACAGCGUAAUUUUUUUUGAAGAGUUCUUAUCGAAAAAAAAGAUUGCGACCUCGAUGUCGGACUCGCCCGUUAACACAAACACAUUGUGUU